ensembl:lncRNA
AGAAGCUAGACUGAGCUGCUUGCAAGUGCCUCAAGAAGAAUCACACUUCAGGUUAUGGCAUGCAGCCAGUUCUGUGCCUGGGGCUCUCACCAGGAGUAUCUGAAACCCUGACAAGAAAUAUCUGGCUCUUCACAGCAGACUGACGAAGAUGGAUGUGAUACAGAGGUCUGGGAAUUCUCUAUCUCAUCUUAUACAUUGCCAUAUACUCGUAUAUGCAGGUAUGCAGGUGUGAAAGUAGAGCCACUGAGCCAGAUCCCCAUGGCCUUGAUCCACCCAGGACUUUUUAAUGACGUGUUUAUCUUUAAUGAGAUAAAUGUGACCUUCUCAUGGAAAACUUUCUUCACAAUCAUUCUUCAGCAAUCUAAUGGAACUAUCCUUUCUAUCUAAACAGAAAAGAGUCUCAUCAGGAAAUUUACAAUAGAGGCUGGUGAUUUCAGCAUUUCUACAUCUACUCUGGGAUCCAUCCCUCAUAUCUCCUGCCUUUUAAUUCACAUGCUCGUUUCACAGUUCAAAAACUAUCCUCAUUUCUUGUUCAACUUUAAGAGGCACAAGUCGUUUCUGUCAAGAGGUGCACUUCUAGCAGAAAAAAAUAUAUAGUGUUAAAUCAGUUUCUUGUAAUGAAACCUGAGGACAACGUUGUGUUUGAUUCUCAAACUAGCAAAGAUACAUUCAGUCACACACAGCAUUCUAAC